GACGAACGCUGGCGGCGUGCUUAACACAUGCAAGUCGAACGGAAAGGCCCUGCUUUUGUGGGGUGCUCGAGUGGCGAACGGGUGAGUAACACGUGAGUAACCUGCCCUUGACUUUGGGAUAACUUCAGGAAACUGGGGCUAAUACCGGAUAGGAGCUCCUGCUGCAUGGUGGGGGUUGGAAAUCUUCGGCGGUUGGGGAUGGACGGGCGGCUUAUCAGCUUGUUGGGUGGGUAGUUGCCUACCAAGGCAUUGGCGGGUAGCCGGCCUGAGAGGGUGACCGGGCACAAUGGGACUGAGAUACGGACCAGAGUCCUACGGGGGGCAGCAGGGGGGAAUAUUGCACAAUGGGCGGAAGCCUGAGGCAGAAACGCCGGGUGCGGGAUGACGGCCUUCGGGGUGUAAACCGCUUUCGCCUGUGACGAAGCGUGAGUGACGGUAAUGGGUAAAGAAGCACCGGCUAACUACGUG
rnacentral:rRNA from 1 species